UGGAAGAUUCUGGUUUUGGAUGGAGUCUAGAAACAUGUUUUAAAAUGUUCUUCAGGCAUAAUAGGUGCAGUUCAUUGUUGUAAAAAAUAGGAUCCAUAUUUUGGUGAUUUUACACAAUCAAAAUGUCUUUCUUGCUCAUAUAACAGUUCGGUAAAUGUGUCCUGGGUUGGUGGGUAGCUUUCCUCUGUAUCACGAUUCAGAGACCCAGGAUUCUUUCAUUUUGUGCCCCAAAGAGAACACCAAGUAAUUGCGGCAAUGCCACAGCAGAAAGAACCUAUCGUUCCUGGGGCUGGGGAAACAAAGAGAAGAGGAUGACAUUAUUGAAACUUGUGAGGGCUCCCAUAGAGCAGAGAUGCAGACAUCUGAGAAGGAGGCUGCCAUUCAGCUGCUGCUGCUGUCCCCAAGCUUGGAGUGGGGCUCCACGGGGCUGUGACUGGCUGAGGAGUGGGUGUUGGUUGGCUGCUGCUGGGGUCUCCAAGAAGGCACAAUGAAGCUAGUUCUGUGCGUGCUGGGAAAACUGCACACCGGAUUCAACUGCUGCUACUGGAAUGAACUGCCUCUGCUGGAGAAAGAUGCGGGCCUAAGUUCCUGACUUCCUCUGACCGCUCUCCACUGGCCAAACCCAAUGAGAAGACAGAAUUGAGGCUGUCGGUAGUGUGUCCUCAGAGAUCAACCACCUUGGUCAGACAGGAGGUUGAAGAAGGCUGGAAAGCAAAACUGGAGGGUGAACAGAAAAGUUCCAGCAAUCGGGACACUGGGGGCAUUUGACACACAGAGAAAAUGAAUGAGGAGUCAUUCAGAAGCCUAAGGAGAAGAUCUAGGAGGAGCUGAUAGAAGAACAGCCAGUGCUGCUGAGGACUGGCUACUGUGAAGGUUGUGCAGUUUGGUGGGAGCCCUGGGGAACUCCCUUCUAUCCUGUGUGUGAUUGAAACCCUCACCCCACAAUAAACACACACACAAACACACACACAGACACACACACAUACAAAUCCAGAGAAAUGCAAAGCCUGCUCUUGCUGGGUGGGCCUCAUGGCUGCUCCUCUGAUCAAUGGCCCACCAGAAAGGGACAAAUAGACUAAAAACAAAGUUUGUGUCUAAGAACACAAAAGUGGUUUCUCCAAUGGGAAAAUAGGCCCGGGCUCUGUGGAGCUCCUCCAGAAAGCCCAGCAUAGGGCCCAGGAGGGGCCAACCCCCCCCCACCACAGCC
rnacentral:lncRNA from 10 species